UGGGGAAUCUUGCGCAAUGGGCGGAAGCCUGACGCAGCGACGCCGCGUGCGGGAAGGAGGCCUUCGGGUCGUAAACCGCUUUCAGCAGGGACGAGGCCGCGAGGUGACGGUACCUGCAGAAGAAGCCCCGGCUAACUACGUGCCAGCAGCCGCGGUAAUACGUAGGGGGCAAGCGUUAUCCGGAUUCAUUGGGCGUAAAGCGCGCGUAGGCGGCCUGUUAGGUCGGGAGUCAAAUCCGGGGGCUCAACCCCCGCCCGCUCCCGAUACCGGCGGGCUUGAGUCUGGCAGGGGAAGGCGGAAUUCCAAGUGUAGCGGUGGAAUGCGCAGAUAUUUGGAAGAACACCGGUGGCGAAGGCGGCCUUCUGGGCCACGACUGACGCUGAGGCGCGAAAGCUAGGGGAGCGAACAGGAUUAGAUACCCUGGUAGUCCUAGCCGUAAACGAUGGACACUAGGUGUGGGGGGACGAUCCCUCCGUGCCGCAGCCAACGCAUUAAGUGUCCCGCCUGGGGAGUACGGCCGCAAGGCUA
rnacentral:rRNA from 1 species